AGAGAGAGAGAGAGAGCCAUGUGUGGAAUACUCGCAGUCUUUGGUUGCAUAGACAACUCACAAGCUAAACGCUCCCGCAUCAUCGAAUUGUCUCGAAGGUUAAGGCAUAGAGGUCCUGAUUGGAGUGGCUUGCAUUGUCAUGAAGACUGUUAUCUUGCUCAUCAAAGAUUGGCUAUUGUAGACCCUACUUCUGGAGAUCAGCCACUUUACAAUGAGGACAAGACUGUCGUUGUCACGGUUAAUGGAGAGAUAUAUAACCAUAAGCAAUUGCGGGAAAAAUUGAAGUCUCAUCAGUUCCGAACUGGUAGUGACUGUGAAGUGAUUGCCCAUCUUUA
rnacentral:misc_RNA from 1 species